UGUUGGUAUAUGUAUGUGUGUUUAUACAAAUAUGUAUUUAAUUUAAAAUUGCUCUCAUUCAUUUGAAAUUAUCCUUUAUUGAUGACCAAGAGUCAUAAUUCUUAUAUUUCAAGAUAUUGCCUUGAAAUCCCAACCCUUUUCUCUAACAUGCUUUUCAUAGUUAGUUGAUCAUUCUACACAUUUGCCCUCCUAUUAAUUAGCAUCUAUAAAUAAAACAACAUAAUAGUCCCUCAUGUUUUCUGUUUCUUGGAGUAGAUUCCAUAAUCUCCUCAAUAUUAUCUAGAGUUCUCUAGCAGUGUCUUUUAUCUCUGCACAAAUAACCAGGGUUAGGUAGUGGUCUUUGGGGUUUUUCAUAAGUCUCUUGAGGCUUUCUAUCUGGAUACAUAAACAGUGCCUGGUCUAUAGUAGAUGCAUAAUAAUUGUUUACUGACUAACUGACUGAUAUACCUUGGGAAAAUCCACAGAUAUUUAUUAUUAUUAAUAUCAUUAUUUUUUCCAGAUUACCUGUCAACAUGAUUUUAAUAAUAAUUUUUCUGACAUUUUGCAAUCCAUGUUCUUUCCCACCCUCUUCCCUCCACAACCUCUCCAAAAAAGAAGGGAAGCAGGAUACAGGGAAGAAGUGAGGAUGGAUUAGAAGAAGGAAAAGACUUUGGAACUGAAACUUUAAAAAAGAAUGCUAAAAUGACUUCUAAAUGUAAAGGUUGAAAAAUGUUAUUUUAAUAAAACCAUGGGAUUAAUGCA
rnacentral:lncRNA from 1 species